UACGUAGGGGGCAAGCGUUGUCCGGAUUUAUUGGGCGUAAAGAGCGUGUAGGCGGCUUGGUAGGUCCGCUGUGAAAACUCGAGGCUCAACCUCGAGACGCCGGUGGAAACCAUCAGGCUAGAGUCCGGAAGAGGAGAGUGGAAUUCCUGGUGUAGCGGUGAAAUGCGCAGAUAUCAGGAAGAACACCGGUGGCGAAGGCGGUUCUCUGGGCAUUACCUGACGCUGAGGAGCGAAAGUGUGGGGAGCGAACAGG
rnacentral:rRNA from 1 species